rnacentral:rRNA from 1 species
GAGAAGAGGGAUCAUUACUGAGUUUACGCUCUACAACCCUUUGUGAACAUACCUAUAACUGUUGCUUCGGCGGGUAGGGUCUCCGUGACCCUCCCGGCCUCCCGCCCCCGGGCGGGUCGGCGCCCGCCGGAGGAUAACCAAACUCUGAUUUAACGACGUUUCUUCUGAGUGGUACAAGCAAAUAAUCAAAACUUUUAACAACGGAUCUCUUGGUUCUGGCAUCGAUGAAGAACGCAGCGAAAUGCGAUAAGUAAUGUGAAUUGCAGAAUUCAGUGAAUCAUCGAAUCUUUGAACGCACAUUGCGCCCGCCAGCAUUCUGGCGGGCAUGCCUGUUCGAGCGUCAUUUCAACCCUCAAGCUCUGCUUGGUGUUGGGGCCCUACAGCUGAUGUAGGCCCUCAAAGGUAGUGGCGGACCCUCCCGGAGCCUCCUUUGCGUAGUAACUUUACGUCUCGCACUGGGAUCCGGAGGGACUCUUGCCGUAAAACCCCCAAUUCUCCAAAGGUUGACCUCGGAUCAGGU